GACUAGAAGUGUUGAUAAGCGCGUUCCAACAGCUACAAGGGUGGAGUAGGGAACAGUGUAUUCCUAAUGAUACCGUCUGGCAAUGGUUGAAUUGCAUGGGUGAUAACCCUCCUAGAGUAACCUCAAUGUAUCUUUUCUUUUUUGUUUUAGCUAUUUUGACAUGCUAGCAUCCGAUUGCUUUGAUUUGUUUCACUUGGUUUUGCAGAUAUCUCUCCGGAUAUGAUCUUGAUGAUCCACUUCCAGAUUUUAGCCAAAUGGAUGAUGCCCUGGAAGCCAUAGAUCUGCGGAACAACCACCUUGAUGGUCCAAUUCCAGAUGUUCUUGGAAAGCUGCUUAAUCUAACGCUACUUGACCUCCGGGAUAACAAUUUUGCGGGUGGUGUUCCGUAAAGUAUAACCAGUAACAACCAAAUAAAAUACAUGAUAGGUUCGAGCAAUAAUCAAUCGGAGAGCAAAAGAUUGGCUUUGAUAAUCGUAUUGGCUGUGGGAUUACCUAUAUUCUUCUUAUUUAUACUUGCCCUUGUUUUCCUCUUAGUUCGGAAACAGAAAACAUCAACUCAAGUACAAGUCACAGCAGCGGAGUUGGGCGGUAAUCGAGUAACCACCACUGGACAGUCCUAAGAAGGGGUUGUUUACUCCGCAAUGAGCACAGACGCAUUGAUUAGGCCAUCACUAGCCAUUGAAUAUAAUAAUUCUUGAAUGUCAAACGGAGAUGGUUAAGGUACCAAUCCAGAUAUAUCGCGCAUACAUACAAAUGAGGGCCCUGGAGCCAUGCCAACAGCAGAAGAAAUGUCAAUGGGUGCUAAUGCUGGAAGCAUUAAUCAUCAUUAUCCAACUACCAUACAAAUGAUCGACGAGGUCAACCCCAAAUCUUCAUUUUUAAUUUAUAUGCUCGAAC